CAUGCUAUUACUAACCGUGUCGACUGCUGCACCAUCCACCCGGCCCGAUCCACUCCCACCCCACCACUCUCUCUAUCUCAGGAACUCCGCACAAUCUCCUCGGUCCACCCCACCCCGGCUCCUCUCCCCACGAUCUCCUGGCCGCCGCCCCCACCCUCGCCGGCCGGUUCCGGCGAGCACCGGCCGCGCGCAACACCCCACCUCCUCCUCCUCCUCCCCCUCCCUUCCCCUUCCUCCUCUGCCCGCCCCUUCUCUCUCCUUCCUCCCGGCGGCCGGCGAUGGGCGCGGACAAGGAGGAGCACCAGUCCCCUGCGCGGAAGCGUGAGCGCGAGGAGGGGGAGGAGCCCGUGGCCGCCGAUGAGAAGCGCCCGCGCACGGCGGACAAGUCGGGGGGCGUUUACCAGGAGAGGCCGCCCCGAAGCCUCUCGCCGCCGGAAACCCUCGCCGCCCAUCUACACCGGAGCACCGGCGAGAAACCGUCCUCCUCCCAGUAAGGAAGCCCUUAUCUUUCCUCGGAUUUCCCUUCGUUUCCUCGCUUACAUACGACCUCCCGCGUGAAGAACCGAGCCGGAUCGAGUCCGGUCCGGCCGGCCAGCCCGGAUCUCCCCCGUCCGAGGCCGGUCUCGCCCCCCGCCGGUAGCGCGCGUAGGCACUAGGUAGGCAGGGCCGUCACCAUGGCGCUCCAUCGGGCGCCCAUGUAUUCCGCCACGGAACUCUAGGGAUUUGGGGGUCGAUUCGGGGACCAAAUCGGGGGAUCACUGGAGGCUCAGGGGCGAUGCAGAUCGAUGAUGCGUUAGUGCCUCAGGUCUAAGCUGCAUGAUUGGGCUGCAGGUGCUGUUCCUGAUCGCUCCAUCAUGCUACAUAUAUACAUUGUGCAAUUUGUUGUCGGAUCGGUGAUACCCAACGGCUUCGUUUUCGGCUCUACUCUGGCCAAUGUUUCGGUCUCCGUCCGGCUAUCUGCCAGCUUGGAGUUGUCAUCAGUUUAUUUGUGCACUUCAUCAAUUUAUACACAAACAUGCCGUACCGAGAUAGCUUAAAUUUGCUACCUAUGUUCAGAUGCGUGCUUGCCUGUUUCUGUAGACCUAUGUGCUAGACUCUUAACACAUGAAUGACGAGUAUUGAAUGCAAAUCUUCGUUCAGUCUCACAGUGUCAUAGGUUUUUGACAAUCCGGCAACUUCUUUGUGCUAGUGCGUCAUGCUUACAUGACAAAGGAGUUGAUGUUUAAUUUUUAUAGACCUGGCUACUACUAUAUGCAAAUAGGGAAAAUGUGAAUUAAAGUUUCUUUAUUUAUCCCAGUAUUACUCUACGUGAUUAGUUAUGCUUAUAUAUUAUGGGAUUAUAAGUCAAGACAUCUGAAGAAAAUGAAUAUCAUGUUUGCUCCUUAGCUGCAGGGAAAAGAAACAUGUGCAAAUGUUGAGGUAGUCAUAUCCAGUGAACCCCGGUAAUAAGUGAAGAUGAAUAUUACAUGUGUAUAUUACUUUUUCCUCUGUCGUUAGAUUAUGUUCAAAAUAUUUCUGAUAUUUUUUCGGAAUGCUAGGACCAUCACAUAUAAAAAAGAACUUUAAAUCACAAAAAUGUUGAUUUCUUUUAUUAAAGAUCUCGAGGGUGAGACAAUUUUCAGCAGAUUCAGAGGAAUAGCUUAAGUACCAUACAGAGGAUGACAAAAAUGGUAAUGAACACAUCAUGGAUCUUGCAUUAAUUUUCUUAUUCUAGCAGUACAACUUGUGCAGGGAAGUCAUUCAUUUGUCAUGCCAUGGAAGUAUCGUUUGAAGUUUCCUUGCUGUCAAGACUUUUUUUUCAACAUCUAUGAGGUGGCAAGCAAAGUUAUGGUAACUGCAGCUCAUAUCAGGUAUAAUGUGAAAUGGUGACCGACGAGGACUACUGCGGCCCGAUGGGAGUCGUGCUCUUCAACUACUCGGAGGCGGACUUCACCGUGAAGCCUCGCGACCGCGUCAUACAGAUUGUCGUCUAGGUGAUUGCGAAGCAUGAGGUCCCCGGGGUGGAGGACCUCGAUGCCACCGUUCGGAGGUCACCGAGGUGGAGGACGACGCCACCGUCUGGAGUUCCUCAAGGUGGAGGACCUCGACUCUUUGUACAUACAUCUAGAGAAGUGGUCUGGUUAGGUUGGUGGUGAAACGCUAGGGAAGGUACCAACCUUUUGAUGAUGGUUGUGUGCGUCCUCGUGAUCUCUUCGUGUUGAGAUGUUCAAUGUUGCAUCCAUGAACACUGCAAGUGUUAAGAUGGUGUUGUGAAAUUUAUUUUGCAUUGGAUGUGUCUCUGAUACUG